UACGGGGGGAGCAAGCGUUGUUCGGAUUUACUGGGCGUAAAGGGCGCGUAGGCGGCCACGACAAGUCACUUGUGAAAUCUCCGGGCUUAACUCGGAAAGGUCAAGUGAUACUGUCGGGCUAGAGUACAGAAGGGGCAACUGGAAUUCUCGGUGGUAGCGGUGAAAUGCGUAGAUAUCGAGAGGAACACCUGCGGCGAAGGCGGGUUGCUGGGCGUGAUGACUGACGCUGGAUGCGCGAAAGCCAGGGGAGCGAACGGG
rnacentral:rRNA from 1 species